AGUGAACGCUGGCGGUAGGCCUAACACAUGCAAGUCGAACGGCAGCACAGAGGAGCUUGCUCCUUGGGUGGCGAGUGGCGGACGGGUGAGGAAUACAUCGGAAUCUACUCUGUCGUGGGGGAUAACGUAGGGAAACUUACGCUAAUACCGCAUACGACCUACGGGUGAAAGCAGGGGAUCUUCGGACCUUGCGCGAUUGAAUGAGCCGAUGGCGGAUUAGCUAGUUGGCGGGGUAAAGGCCCACCAAGGCGACGAUCCGUAGCUGGUCUGAGAGGAUGAUCAGCCACACUGGAACUGAGGCACGGUCCAGACUCCUACGGGAGGCAGCAGUGGGGAAUAUUGGACAAUGGGCGCAAGCCUGAUCCAGCCAUACCGCGUGGGUGAAGAAGGCCUUCGGGUUGUAAAGCCCUUUUGUUGGGAAAGAAAUCCAUCUGGUUAAUACCCGGGUGGGAUGACGGUACCCAAAGAAUAAGCACCGGCUAACUUCGUGCCAGCAGCCGCCGUAA
rnacentral:rRNA from 1 species